UCAUUUACCCUGUACCGUUUGCUGCACACCUGUAUAUUUUUUUUUCUAUCGAAUCUGCGCAUGUGCUAUUCGUUCACGUCUGUCUUUAAAAGGUACAGUGACGGAGUAGAGACACAGUUGGCUGUAAACCCACGAUGAUGGCGUUAACACUGAGAACGCUGGUAAUAGUUCUGCUGGUGGCAGUUUUCUCCACCUCAGUUCAGAGUGGUGACAAUGCGUGUGAAGAUGCUGGUGGGAAUUGUGUGAGUAAAGAGGAAUGUGAAGUUAAACCAUCUGCAGCAGACUGCGAGGAGGAAGAUGAAGUCUGCUGCAUUACUCCUUCAAGAAA